UCAAGAAACUUCCACAAUGGGCGAAAGCCUGAUGGAGCGACGUCGCGUGAUGGACGAAGUGCUUCGGCACGUAAACAUCUUUUAUGUGGGAUGAAAUUAUUGACAGUACCACAUGAAUAAGGGGCUCCUAACUCUGUGCCAGCAGGAGCGGUAAUACAGAGGGUGCAAGCGUUAAUCGGACUUACUGGGCGUAAAGGGUGCGUAGGCGGAAGGAUAAGUUAGUUGUGAAAGGCCUGGGCUUAACCUAGGAACUGCAAUUAAGACUGUCCAUCUAGAGUUGAGUAGAGGGGAGCGGAAUUUCCGGUGUAGCGGUGAAAUGCGUAGAUAUCGGAAGGAACAUCAGUUGCGAAGGCGGCUCUCUGGACUCAAACUGACGCUGAGGCACGAAAGCGUGGGUAGCGAACAGGAUUAGAUACCCCCGUAGUCCCUGAGCGGGCUGGCAAGGCGCAU
rnacentral:rRNA from 1 species